AACUAUUUAGCUCAGAGGUUAAAGCAUCUGCCUGCAAAGCAGGAGACCCAGGUUCGAUCUCUGGGUUG
rnacentral:tRNA from 1 species